rnacentral:lncRNA from 1 species
AUGGACCAAGCGUGGUGCUGGACCCUUGAUGCACAGUAUCUCCGAUUGCCGCAAUUUAGGACAGAGGACAACAAAGAAGUACUUGGCUUUAACCUCAUGACCCUCAACGGACAGUAUCGCCUCGUUCGUAUUGCUGUGGCGUCAUGUCCCAGUAACACAGAGGGUGAACUCAGAUAGACCUGGAGCCACACAGAUCUGGUUCAAAACCUAACUCUACACUGGAUCAACCAUGGUGCUUCUGGACAAAUUCCCCAACCUCUCAAUGUCUCUGCUCAUCUACAAAAUGACAACACCAAUCACACGCUCCUCGCCAUAUUACCAGAGAGAUGUUAUGAAAAUCAAGUGCUGAAAUGAAUACAGAGUGACCAGCAGAGUGGCCGGCAUGUAGGGAGCGCUUGGUGGAUGUUGACUUUAAAUACUUAGAGUGACACAUAUACAUAGAGCAGCAAAUUUGUGUCAGGUUAUAAAGCAAAUGCUGCUGAAUUUGACUUCUCUGUUUCAGGGAAGGAUCCAUGUGAGGAGCAACCUUCCUCUUAUUACUUCCUAUUGUCAUUGCUGGUUUAAAUAUUUGUUGUUGUUGUUUUAUUGUAAAAUUGCAGAAAUAGGAGGCUGAGCUUUUGAUCUUGCAUUAAAGGAAGCAGAGUUUCACAGAAGAAGGGAACGGGGAGGGGUGGGGCUGUUAGAAAGGCUCUACAAAGUGCUCGCUUCGGCAGCACAUAUACUAAAAUUGGAAAGGCUCUACGAAGGGGGCCAGGUGAGCUGAGUUCUGUCUCGACAUAUGUGUGUUAGCAUGUGGGACCUGGCCCCUGUAAAUACGUCCAUCUUUAGAGUUUACGUUUUCUUUCUGUUCUAGAGAGCUGGGGAGUGUUUAUCCUCAUUUGCUUAGUAAAGUCUCUCUGGAUAGAUUUUUACAGGGAUAGGGAUUUGCCUUUUCUUGGACAAGCAUGGCUAGGAGGUCAGGGUGAGCCCAGAGGGUAGGGAAACUGGUGGCAGUUAUUAUGAUCUCCUCAAACCCCCAACUCCCCAACUGCCUCCUCCUCUGGCUGGAGGGAGAGAGAAGGAUAAGCUAGCCGGGAAGACUGAUGUAGCCCCCUCUCAAGGCCUUCUCUCAAGGGAUAAAUUUACCUCAGUCCUUUACAACAAACACACACACAAACAGAAAACUAUGCAAAAUAAAAUGUGAAGUCCUUC